AUUUUCCUGUUGCUCCUCUGGCCACCCUCCCAAUGGAUCCGUGUGGUCCCUGGCAGGAAUGUCUUGCUUGGGGACCGAGUGAGCUCUUAGAGCCUUUCUGCUGCUUCCUCUACCCCUGUAUUUUACUCAGCUCUCUAAAUUGACUCAGUGCCAGGUCUGCUGCAGUUUGCUGGAGGUCCACUCCAGACUCUAUGUACCUGGAUAUCACCAGCGGAAGCUGCAGAAUAGCAAAGAUUGCUUCCUGGUCCUUCCUCUGGAAGCUUCAUCCCAGAGGGGCACUGGCCUGAUGUCAGCUGGAGCUCUCCUGUAUGAGAUUUUCUGUAAAUGCUGCCCACCCCCACUGCCUCUGCCUGAUGACGUCCUCUGGGUGCUUGUGUGAGAAUCAUGCAGUGACCACAUCAUCACCCACAGCUGAUGACUCAGAGUGGACCACCUAUUCAGCCCAGAGCAGGAACCCAAGCCUAUGAAGUGAAUUGUAGGAUGUGGUAUCAGCCAGUAGAGGUACUGGAGCACCAGAAACCUGAGUUCCCAGUGAUAGAACCGCCAAUGCCUCAUGGCCAUGCUGCUAAAUCCAUCAGGAUAGUUUCUUUAGCAGACGUGGUAUGACAUCUACUUGUGGACACACUCUGCUUUCUGGUUUUUCUGUUUCUGAUUAGAAACUCAAAAACAAUAUGAGAAACAUACCUGAAAACAGCAGAAGAUCUGGAUCAUUCCGGCCAGCAAUUCAAAGUCUGCCAAAGGGAAAUCAAGUAUUGUAGAAACCUACGGGGCCUCUCAGAGCAUUUUACCAGAACUGUGGCAGGGUGACUGAUUGUGUCCUCACAGGGGAAGAAAGUCUUGUCCAAAGAUGGCGUCUACCCUGUGCUCCACUGUGUAUCCCAGAGGAGAGCAUCUUUACUGUGGAAUGGACUUCCAGCUGACUCAUGUUGGGGAAAGGAAGCAACACAGGAGCUUAAGAGGAAAAUUGAAAGAAACCACAGACCCUUUGAAAGAAGUGGCAAACUGCAGCUUACACCAUGAGCCAGGCAGAAAACUCUGAGUCCUCAGAGUGUGAAAGGAAGAGAAACUGCCUCUGGGAUAUGCACUCCCACUGGGGAACCUGGCAAUCCAGGCCACGGGGAAGACCUUAACCCUACCCAGUGCUGGAGCUGAUUUAAUGAGCUGAGGGGAGUAUAUGAGAAGGAGCAGCUUCAGGAUGUGCUUUGCUUGCACUCCUAGACUCUACUGGGGACAGAGGGAAGCCAUUCCUGAUCCUACCUCACAGAGGACCAUGCAGAAGUCAGCCAACUAGCUCAGGCGGUGGCCAUGGGCUGAGAGGAGUGAGAAGCUCCCAACUGAGAUUCACAAUAUAAUCUCUAGCAGGGAUGGACCUCCUUGACCAGAACUGAGGGGCAAGUGGGAAGUGCGCUGUGCCCACAGGUGUAGGAGCUGGGUGCCCCUGCUUCGCUAGCAGAUCAGGAGGGGCAUGGCCUGAGCAGUUUUUGUCUUGGCAGCCAGAGAAGGCUUAUGGUCUGGGACAGUUUUGAGUGCUGAAUGCAGCCUGCUUGCAACCUAGAUGGCCGCUGCCAGUAGAACACUGUGGGUCUGAGACCUGUCUUGCCAAGUGCAUAGGGGCUGAGUGGGGCUUACUGCCACCUGUACUCCCCACUUCCUGUGUGGACUCUUCUGUGCGGCAGGGGCAACUGCACUCCUCCCUGGAACAUUAUCCCAGCAUCCAGAGAACUGCCCUCUGAUCCCCACUGGGCCACUGAUUGCACCUGCACGUGGAUAGCCAGAGCGCGAACUUGCCUGACUCAGCCCCGACCUGGUUUGCCUUUUUACCCACCCUGGUAGCUUAACACAAAGGACAGAAACUUUCGGGAGUGUUAUGGACCUGCCCAUUGCUUGAGACACCAGAGUACCUCCCCUGGUCACAUAAGCCAAGCAUGAAUUCCACCACUACUACUGCAGUCAGUGCUCUUUCGCACCAACUGCACCUCCUGGCUAUAGGCCAAUCAACAUAGUCCAUUACAACAUCUGUAGGCAGAAUAACACAGCACUGGGAAGGAGAAAACUUUUGCAUGACUACAGCUACCACCAUUGCCUGCAUCACCCUGGCUAACCAGGAGGUCUUGAGUCUGUUCACAUGACCAGAUCAUUACUACUACAACUGAAAUUAGAGAAAGCCAGCACACUAAGGCUAUUUGUAACCAAAGAAUCUCACAGAGUUUACUUUACUCCUCUGCCAGCCCCAUCAGAGCUGGUGCUGGUACCCACUGCUGGGAGACUUGAGGAUAAGUCACAUCGCUGGACCCUUUGCAGACAUUCCCUAGCACAGGCCUGGAAUGUAGCAGCCCCAUUGGGUGGCCAGAUCCAGAGCCGCAGCAGCAAUCAUAGUAGUCUGGCACUCAGGGACUCCUACUCCUAGGGUAAGCAGGAGUGCACCACAUGAAGGGAGCACCCUGUGGGACAAAGGAAUCCAGAUGGCAGGCUUUGAGUCUCAGAACUUUACAAUUGUGGGAAAUUUCUUUCAGCAGAGAGACAGGUGCAGUGCUGGGCUCAGUGGGGAAGUCUGUGGCUCUACCUCACCAGUCAGGCAGCCCUGGUGCUUGUGAAGGGUCUUGGAGAAUAGGACUUCUCCCCCUCAUGCACCACUGCUGACACAGCUGGGGUUUCUCACAAAGGAACUCGGCAUGAGUGCACCUGUAGACAGCCUUUCUGGGACCCUUCAGGUGACUGCAUUCCCACAGGACAAGUGCCCUCCAGGCUCAGGCUUGUAUGAGAGGUAGAGUCACAAUUCAUCUCUACAUUCUUGCAGCUGAAAAGACGUGUCUGUCUGAAGGUCUAACAUCCAGUAUCUGUAAGGAACUUAAACAAAUUUACAAAAAACCCCUAACCCACCCCAUUAAAAAGUAGGCAAAGGAUAUAAACACACACUUCUCAAAAGAAGACAUACAUGCUGCCAACAAUCAUAUGAAUAAAAACUCAACAUCACUGAUCAUCAGAGAAAUGCAAAUCAAAACCACAAUGAGAUACCACUUCACACCAAUCAGAAUGGCUAUUACUAAAAAGUCAAAAAUAACAGAUGCUAGCGAGGUUGUGGAGAAAAAGGAUCGCUUCCACAAUUUUGGUGGGAGUGUAAAUUAGUUCAACCAUUGUGGAAGACAGUAUGGCAACUUCUCAAAGACCUAAAGUCAGAACUACCAUUUCAUCCAGCAAUCCCAUUACUGGGUAUAUACCCAAAGGAAUAUAAAUUGUUCUAUUAUAAAGACACAGGCAUGUAUAUGUUUAUUGCAGCACUAUUUACAAUAGCAAAGACAGGGAUCAGCCCAAGUGCCUGUCAGUGAUAGACUGGAUAAAGAAAGUGGGUAGAUAUACACAUGGAAUAGUACACAGUCAUAAAAACAAUGAGAUCAUGUCCUUUACAGGGACAUGGACGGAGCUGGAGGCCAUUAUCCUUAGCAAACUAAUGCAGGAACAGGAAACCAAUACUGCUUGUUCUCACUUAUGAGUGUGAGCUAAAUGAUGAGAACACAGAGACACACAGAGGGGAACAACACGCAUUGGGGCCUUUCAGAGGGUAGAGGGUGGGAGGAGGGAGAGAAGCAGGAAAAGUAACUGGCGGAUACUAGGCUUAAUACCUGGGUGAUGAAAUAAUCUUUACAACCAACCCCCCUGACACGUGUUUACCUAUGUAACUAAUCUGCACAUCCUGCACAUCUACCCCUUAACUUAAAAGUGAAAAAAAAAAAAAAAAAAGAAAAGAGGUGCCUGUCUGAUCUGAAUAGCUAGAACACUGGGUCAGGAAUGUGACUGGGAGACAGAUUGCUUUCCUGCUGGCCUGUGAGGGGAUCUAAGGUGGGUCCCUCCCUUCCACCUGAAAAGACCUCAGUGAGUUUCACUGAGCACUCCCCUAGACACCUCUGUGAAGGCUGGUACUUCCGCCCACCAUUGGUUAUUGCAUUUACCUACCAGCUUUAGCCACAGCCAGUUUUUGCCUGUGGCCACCUCUUACUGGCCUGAAGCCUGAACUGUUCGACCCAGUGAAUAAAAUACUGGGUAAAUAAAGAAAGAAAUAAUUGAGUGAACACCACUGGGGAAUGAGAUAAGCUUCAAGAGACCUCUGCCAUUCCAACUCCACAGGAGACAGUAAAUUUGCUCACACACCAAGCACAUUGCUACUGUAACUAGCAUCUGAGGAAGCCAUCACAUAAAGAGUCUCUAUAACCAAGGAGCUCAUACAGAAUCUUCACCCCUGAAAGCACUCAGAGCCAAAUUAGGUUAUGAUAACUUAUAAACAUUAAAGUCACAUCCUCAAGGGGAAAAAAAGAAACAAACAACAACAAAAAACACAGUCAAAUAAAAAGUGAGCCAGAAAUAAAUUAAAAAAUAAUUAGAAGAAAUAGACUACCCAAAAGAGAAGAAAACAGAAAAAUAAUUCUGGCAAUGUGACAGAACAGCAUUCUACAACAACUUCAAAAGAUCACAGCCACUCUCCAGAAAUGGAUCCAAACCAAGAUGAAAUCUUUGAAAUACCACCAGCCUGGCCAACAUGGUGAGACUCCAUUUCUACUAAAAAUCCAAAAAAAAAAAAAAAAAAAAAGAAAGAAAAAUUAGCCGGGUAUGGUGGCUUGCACCUGUAGUCCUAGCUACUCGAGAGGCUGAGUAAGGAGGAUUGCUUGAACCUGGGAGGCAGGGGUUGCAGUCAGCUGAGAUCACACCACUGCACUCUAGCCUGGGUGACAGAGUGAGACUCCAUUUCAAAAAAAAAAUUCUUUGAAAUACUAGAUAAAGAAUUGAAAAGGUUGAUUAUUAAGUUACUCAGGGAGAUACAAGAGAAAGGUGAAAAACAAUAUAAAGAAAUGAGAAUAUCAAUUUAUAAUAUGAGUGAAAAAUUUUCUAAAGAGGUAGAUAUUUUAAGGAAAAACCAGUUGGAACUUCCAGAAAUGAAAAAUAUAUUUAGAGAAUUACAAAAUGCAGUGGAAUUACAAAACACAGUGGAAUGUUUUAACAAUAGACUAAACCAAGUAGAAGAAAAAAUUUAAAAGACAAGGCUUUAAAAUUAACCUAAUCAGGCAAAAAUAAAUAAAAAAAUUCAAAGAAAUGAACAAAGUCUACAAUAAAUAUGGGAUUAUGUAAAAUGGCUAAACCUAAGAAUGGCUGGUGUCCCUGAGGGAGAAGAAAAUGCAAAAAGUUUGGGAAAUUUAUUCGAAGAAAUAAUUGAAGAAAACUUCCAUGGCCUUGCUAGAGAUUUAGUCAUCCAAAUACAAGAAAUCCAAAGAACUUCUGGGAGAUUUAUUGCAAAAAGGACAUUACAAAGGCAUAUAGUCAUCAGCCUAUCUAAAUUUAAUGGGAAGGAAAUAUUUUUAAGAGCAGGGAGAAAAAGGCAUCAGGUAACCUAUAAAGGAAAGCCUAUCAGACUUCUCCGCAGAAACCUUACAAGCUAGAAGGGACUGGGGUCCUAUCUUUAGCCUCCUUAAACAGAAUAACUGUCAGCCAAGAGUUUUGUAUCCAGCAAAAUUAUGUUUUAUAAAUAAAGGAGAAAUACAAUAUUUUUUAGACAAGCAAAUGCUAAGGGAAUUUGUUACUACAAGGCCAGCCCUAAAAGCAAUGCUAAAAGGAAUUCUAAAUCUUGAAACAAAAGGUUGAUAUGCACCAGAAUAGAACCUUUUGAAAGUAUAAAACUCACAGGGUCUAUAAAACAAUAACACCUGUUCACGCUGAUGACAGUUUUUUUUGCUGUGCAGAAGCUCUUUAGUUUAAUUAGAUCCAAGUUGUCAAUUUUGGCUUUUGUUGCCAUUGCUUGUGGUGGUUUAGUCAUGAAGUCUUUGCCCAUGCCUAUGUCCUAAAUGGUAUUGCCUAGGUUUUCUUCUAGGGUUAUUAUGGUUUUAGGACUUACGUUUAAGUCUUUAAUCCAUCUUGAGUUAAUUUUUGUAUAAGGUGUAAGGAAGUGGUCCAGUUUCAGUUUUCUGCAUAUGGCUAGCCAGUUUUCCCAACAUCAUUUAUUAAAUAUCAUCAGAGUGAACAGGCAACCUACAGAAUGGGAGAAAAUUUUUGCUAUCUAUCCAUCUGAUAAAGGGCUAAUAUCCAGAAUCUACAAGGAACUUAAAGAAAUUUACAAGAAAAAAACAAACAACCCCAUCAAAAAGUGGGCAAAGGAUAUGAACAGACACUUCUCAAAAGAAGACAUUUAAGUGGCCAACAAACAUAUGAAAAAAAACUCAUCACUGUUCAUUAGAAAAAUGCAAAUCAAAACCACAAUGAUAUAACAUCUCAUGCCAGUUAGAAUGGUGAUCAUUAAAAAGUCAGGAAACAACAGAUGCUGGAGAGGAUGUGGAGAAAUAGGAAUGCUCUUACACUGUUGGUGGGAGUGUAAAGUAGUUCAACCAUUGUGGAAGACAGUGCAGCGAUUCCUCAAGGAUCUAGAACCAAAAAUACCAUUUGACCUAACAAUCCCAUUACUGGGUAUACACCCAAAGGAUUAUAAAUCAUUCUACUGUAAAGACAUGCACAUGUAUGUUUAUUGCAGCACUAUUCACAAUAGCAAAGACUUGGAAUCAACCCAAAUGCCAUCAAAGAUAGACUGGAUAAAGAAAAUGUGGCACAUAUACCCCAUGGAAUACUAUGCAGCCAUAAAAAGUGAUGAGUUCAUGUACUUUGCAGGGACAUGGAUGAAGCUGGAAACCAUCAUUUUCAGUGAACUAACACAGGAACAGAAAACCAAAUACCACAUGUUCUCACACUUAAGUGGGAGUUGAACAAUGGCAACACAUGGACACAGGGAGGGGAGCAUCACACACCAGGGCCUGUCAGUGGGUGGGGAUCUAAGGGAGGGAUAGCAUUAGGACAAAUACCUAAUGUAGAUGACAGAUUGAUGGGUGCAGCAAACCACCAUGGGACAUGUAUACCUAUGUAACAAAUCUGCAUGCUCUGGAUGUGUAUCCCAGAACUUAAAGUAAAAAACAAAAAACAAAAAACAAUAACACCAUGAAGAAAACAAAGUAACUAGGUAACAAUCAAUAUGAUGGUGAGGACAGUACUUCACAUCUCAAUAUUAACACUGAAAGUAAAUGGUCUAAAUGCUCUACUUAAAAGAUAUGGAUUGGCAUAAUGGAUAAAAAAAUUACAAACCAAAUAUCUUCUGUUUUCCAGGGAUACAUAUAACACAUAAGGAUUCUUAUAGACUCAAGGCAAAGGGGUGGAAAAAGAUAUUCCAUGCAAAUGAAAAUCAAAACUAAGCAGGAGUAACCAUUCUUAUAUCAGAUAAAAGAGACUUUUAAACAACAACAGUAAAAAAAAGACAAAGAAGGUCAUUAUAUAAUGAUAAAAGGAUCAAUCCAACAAGAAGAUAUUACCAUCUUAAAUAUAUAUGCACCUAAUUCUGGAGCUCCCACAUUCAUAAAACAAUUGUUACUAGACCCAAGAAAAGAGAUAACAGCAACACAAUAAUAGUGGGGGACUUCAACACUCCACUGAUAGCACUAGACAGAACAUCAAGACAGAAAGUCAACCAAAGACACUGGACUUAAAUUGCACUCUAGAACAAAUGGACCUAACAGAUAUUUACAGAACAUUUUCCCCAAGAGCUACAGAAUAUACAUUCUUCUCAUCAGCGCAUGGAACAUCCUCUAAGAUAGACCAUAUAGUAGGCCACAAAACAUGUCUCAAUAAAUUAAAAACCAUCAAAAUCAUAUCACGUAUCUUCUCAGACCACAUUGGAAUAAAAACUAGAAAUCAAUUCCAAAAAGGAACCCUCAAAACUAUACAAAUACAUGGAAAUUAAACAAUCUUCUCCUAAAUAAUUUUGGGGUUAACAAUGAAAUCAAGAUGGAAAUUAAAAAAUUAUUUUAAAUGAAUGAUAAUGUGACACAAUUCAUCAAAAUCUGUGGGAUACAGCAGAAGCAGUGCUAAGAAGAAAGUUAUAGCACUAAAUGGUUUUAUCAAAAAGUCUGAAAGUAGCAAAUUGACAACCAAAUGUUACACUUCAAGGAACUAGAGAAACAAGAAAAAAUGAAACCCAAAGCUAGAAGAAGAAAAUCAAUAGCAAAGAUCAGAGUAGAACUAAAUGAAAUUUGAAGCCAAAAAUCCAUACAAAAGGUCAAUGAAACAAAAAGUUGGUUCUUUGAAAAGAUAAACAAAAUCGAUAGAUCAUUAGCUAGACUAACCAAGAAAAGAAGAGUGAAGAUUCAACUAAGCUCAAUUUGAAAUGAAAAUAGAGACAUUACAACCAACACCACAGAAAUAGAAAAGAUCAUUCGAGAUUGCUAUGAACACCUCUAUGUACAUGUCUAGAGGAAAUAGAUAAAUAUCUGGAAACAUACAACCCUCCUAGCUUGAAUCAGGAAGAAACAGAAAUUCUGAACAGACCAAUAACAAGUGGUGAAAUAGAAUCAGUAAUAAAAAAAUUGCCAAGAACAACAAAAACAACAACAAAAAACUCAGAGCCAGUGGAUUCACAGCUGAAUUCUACCAGCCAUUCAAAGAAAAAUUGGUACCAGUCCUACUGAAACUAUUCCAAAAGAUUGAGAAGAGGGAAUCACCCCAAAUUAUUCUAUGAAGCCAGUAUCAUCCUGAUACCAAAGCCAGGAAAGGACAUAACAACAAAAAAAGAAAACUACAGACCCAUAUCCCUGAUUAACAUACAUGUAAAAAUUCUGAAUAAAAUAUUAGCAAACUAAAUCCAACAGAAAAUCGAAAAGAUAUGUCAUCCCAGGGAUGUAGGGAUGGUUCAACAUACUCAAGUCAAUAAAUGUGAUUCAUCACAUAAACAUAAUCAAAUACAAAAACUACACGAUCAUUUCAAUCAACACAGAAAAAGCAUUUGAUAAAAUUCAGCAUUGCUUUAUGAUAAAACUCUCAACAAACUAGGCAUAGAAAGAACAUACUUCAAAAUAAUAAAAGCCAUAUAUGGCAUACCCACAGCCAUCUCAUAUUGAACCGGAAAAAGUUGAAAGCAUUCCCCCUAAGAACUGGAAGAAGACAAGGAUGCCCACUUUCACCACUUCUAUUCAACAUAGUACUGGAAGUCCUAGCCAGAGCAAUGUGGCAAGAGAAAGAAAUAAAAGGGCAUCCAAAUUGGAAAAGAGGAAGUCAAACUAUCUGUGUUUGCCAGUGGUGUUAUUGCAUGCCUAGAAAACCCUAAAAAUUCCUACAAAAGACUCCGAGAUUUGGUAAAUGAAUUCAAAAAGUCUCAGCUUGCAAAAUCAAUGUACCCAAAUGAGUAGCACUGAUACACACAAACAAUGACUAAGUUGAAUCAAACGAAGAACUUGAUCCCUUUUAAGAUGCCUGCAAGAAAAAAGGAAAAAAUCCAACUCUCUAGGAAUAUACUUAACCAAGGAUGUGAAAUAUUUCCGUGAGGAGAAGUAUAGAACACUGCUGAAGGAAAUCAUAGAUGACACAAACAAAUGGAAAUACAUCUCAUGCUCAUGAAUUGGAAGAAUCAAUAUCAUUAAAAUGACCAUACUGCCCAAGGCAAUCUACAGAUACAAUGCAAUUCCUAUCAAAAUACCAACAUUGUUUUUCAUGAAAUUAGAAAAAAAAUUAAAAUUCAUAUGAAACCAAAAAAAGAGCCUGAAUAGCCAAAACAAUCCUAAGCAAAAAGAACAAGUCUGGAAGCAUCACAUUACCUGAUUUCAUGUUAUACUACAAAGAUAUAGUAACCAAAACAGCAGAGUACUGUUAUAAAAGUAGGUACAUAGAGCAAUGGAACUGCAUAGAGAAUCCAGAAAUAAAGCCAAAUACUUACAAUCAACUUAUCUUCAAGAAAGCAUACAAAAACAUGAACUGGGGAAAGGACACCCUAUUCAAUAAAUGGUGCUGGGAAAACUGGCUAACCACAUGUGGAAAAAUGAAACUGGAUCCCUAUCUCUGACCAUAUACAAAAGUCAACUCAAGGUGGAUUACAGACUUAAGUCUAAGACUUGAAAUCAUAAAAAUUCUAGAAGAAAACCCAGGAAAAACUCUUCUGGACAUUGGCCUAAGCAAAUAAUUUAUGACUAAGACCUCAAAAGCAAAUGCAACAAAAACAAACAUAAAGAAAUCUAAUCUAAUUAAACUAAAAAGCCUCCACACAGCAAAAGAAAUAAUCAUUACGGUGAACAAAAUGGGAGAAAAUAUUUGCAAACUAUGCAUCUGACAAAGGACCAAUAUCCAGAAACUACAAGGAAUUCAAACAAAUCAGCAAGAAAAAACAAAUAAUCCUAUCAAAAAGUGGGCAAAUGACAUGAACAGACAUUUCUCUAAAGAAGAUAUAUAAAUGGCCAACAAACAUAGGAAAAAAUUCUCAACAUCACUAACCAUGAAGGAAAUGCAAAUUAAAACCACAACUUGAUACCACCUUACCCCAGCUAGAAUUGCCAUUAUUAAAACGUCAAAAUAUAACAGAUGUUGGCAUGGAUGUGAUGAAAGGGGAAUGCUUAUACGCUGCUGGUGGGAAGGUAAAUUAGUACACUCUAUGGAAAACAGUAUGAAGAUUCCUGAAAGAACUAAAAACAGUUCUACCAUUUGACUUAGCAAUCCCACUACUGGGUAUCUACCCAAAGGAAAAUAAGUCAUUAUAUGAAAAAGACACGUGCACACAUAUGUUUAUUGCAGCACAAUUCACAACUGCAGAAACAUAGAACCAACCUAAGUGCCCAUUGGACCAUGACUGGAUAAAUAAAAUGUGGUGUAUAUACACUAUGAAAUACCACUCAUCCAUAAAAGGAAUGAAAUAAUGUCUUUUGCAGCAACUUGGAUGGAAUUGGAGGCCAUUUUUCCAAGUGAAGUAACUUAGGAAUGGAAAGCCAAAUACCAUAUAUUUUCACUUAUAAGUGGGAGUCAAACUAUGGGUACACAAAGGCAUAAAGAGUGGUAUAAUGGACAUUGGAGACUCAGAAGAGAGGAAGGUGGCAGUUGAGUGAUAGAUAAAAAACUAUAUAUUGGGUACAAAGUACAUUACUUGAGUGACUGAUACACUAAAAUCUGACUUCAUUACUAUACAGUUCAUCCAUGUAACCAAAAACCACUUGUACCCCUAAAGCUAUUGAAAUUUAAAAAUAAAGGAAGGAAAGAAGGAGAAAGCAAGAAAGCAAGCAAGAAAGCAAGAAAAGCAAGAAAGCAAGCAAGCAAGCAAGCAAGCAAGCAAGCAAGCAAGCAAGCAAGAAAGAAAAUAGUGCUGUGAUAAACUUGAGGGUACAGGUAUCCCUUUGAUAUACUGAUUUCCUUUCCAUUGGAUACAUACCCAGUAGUGGGAUUGCUGGACCUUAUAGUAGUUCUAGUUUUAGUUUUAUUUAGAAACCUCCAUACUGUUUUCCAUAAUGGUUGUACUAACUUACAUUCCCACUAACAGUGUGUAAAAGUUUCCUUUUCCCUCAUCCUUGCAGCAUUUGUUAUUUUUUAUCUUUUUGAUAAUAGCCAUUCUAAGUGAAGUGAGAUGACAUCUCAUUGUGGUUUUGAUUUGCAUUUCCCUGAUGGCUAGUGAUGCUGAGCAUUUUUAAAUACAUGUAUUGGCCACUUGUAUGUCUUUUAUAGUGAAAAAUGUCUAUUCAGAUACCUUGCACAUUUAAAACAUCAAAUUAUUAGUUUUUUUUUUUUUUUGCUGUUGAGUUCCUUGUAUAUACUGGACAUUUGUUCCUUAUUGGAUGCAUAGUUUGCAAAUAUUUUCUUCCGUUCUAUAGGUUGCCUUUUCUCUCUUGAUUGUUUUCUUUGUUGUGUAAAAGCUUUGUAGUUUGAUAUAGUCCCAUUGUCUAGUUUUUUAUUGCUUGUGCUUUUGAAGUCCUACUCAUAAAAUCUUUGACUAGACCAAUGCCCUGAAGAGAUUUCCCUAUGUAUUGUUCUAGUAGUUUUACAGUUUUUGGUCUUUCAUUUAAGUCUUUAAUCCACUUUCCUUUGAUUUUUGAGAGAUAGGGGUCUAGUUUCGUUCUUCUGCAUAUGGAUACCCAGAUUUCCCGGCAUCAUUUAUUGAAGGGGAUGUCCUUUUCUCAGUGUAUGUUCUUGGUGCCUUUGCUGAAAAUCAGUUGGCUCUAAAUUCUUAUACUUAAUUUGAGGUUCUCUAUUCUGUUCCACUGGCCUAUGUGUCUGGUUUGUUUAUUGAUACAUAAUAAUUGUAUACAUGUAAUAUUUUGAUCCAUGCAUACAAUAUAUAAUGAUCAAAUCAGGGUAAUUGAUCACUAUAAUCACCUCAAACAUUUAUCACUUCUUUGUGUUGACAACAUUCCAAAUCUUCCUUUCUAGUUAUUUUGAUAUAUAAAAUAAAUUAUUGAUAACUACAGUCACUGUAUUGUGCUCAUACAGUAGAAAUUAUUCCUAAUAUUUUACUGUAUUUCUGUAGGAUUAACCAACCUCUCUUUAUCCCAGCCUCCGGUAAUCACCAUUUUACUCUCUACCUCCAUGAGAUCAACUUUUUUAGCUCCCACAGGUAAGUGGGAACAUGCAACAUUUGUCUUUCUGUGCCUGGCUUCUUUCACUUAACAUAAUGUCCUCUAGGCUCAUCCAUGUUGCUGCAAAUGACAGGAUUUUAUUCUUGUUUGUGGAUGAAAUGAUAUCCCAUUGUGUGUAUAUAUAUAACAGCUUAUCCAUCCAUCCAUUGGUGAACACUUAGGUUGAUUUUUCUUUUAAAGAAGAAAUAACACAAAUGCUUCUCAAACUAUUCCAAAACACUGAAGAAGACUAAAUUCUUUCUAAUUUAUUCUAUGAGGCUAGCUUAUCCUGAUACAAAAAUGAGGCAAGGUCACAAGUGAAAAAGAAAACUAUAGGUCAAUAAGUGAUGAA
rnacentral:lncRNA from 1 species